rnacentral:rRNA from 1 species
UACGGAGGGUGCGAGCGUUGUCCGGAAUCACUGGGCGUAAAGGGCGCGUAGGCGGCGCGGAUAGUCGGCGGUGAAAGCCCGGAGCUCAACUCCGGGUCGGCCGUCGAUACUUCCGGGCUUGAGCACUGUAGAGGCAGAUGGAAUUCCGGGUGUAGCGGUGGAAUGCGUAGAGAUCCGGAAGAACACCGGUGGCGAAGGCGGUCUGCUGGGCAGUUGCUGACGCUGAUGCGCGACAGCGUGGGAAGCAAACAGG